rnacentral:rRNA from 1 species
AACGAACGCUGGCGGCAGGCCUAACACAUGCAAGUCGAACGCCCCGCAAAGGGAGUGGCGCACGGGAGAGUAACGCGUGGGAACCUACCUAUUGGUUCGGGACAACACCGGGAAACUGGUGCUAAUACCGGAUAACCCCGAGAGGGAAAAGAUUUAUCGCCGAUAGAUGGGCCCGCGUUAGAUUAGCUAGUUGGUGAGGUAACGGCUCACCAAGGCGACGAUCUAUAACUGGUCUGAGAGGAUGACCAGUCUCACUGGGACUGAGACACGGCCCAGACUCCUACGGGAGGCAGCAGUGGGGAAUAUUGGACAAUGGGGGAAACCCUGAUCCAGCCAUGCCGCGUGAAUGAUGAAGGCCUUCGGGUUGUAAAGUUCUUUUGGUGGGGACGAUGAUGACGGUACCCACAGAAUAAGCUCCGGCUAACUUCGUGCCAGCCGCCGCCGUAA